rnacentral:rRNA from 1 species
AGUUCCUCAAAUGACUCGGCGGGCNNCUUCCGGGAAACCAAAGUGUUUGGGUUCCGGGGGAAGUAUGGUUGCAAAGCUCAAACUUAAAGGAAUUGACGAAAGGGCACCACCAGGAGUGGAGCCUGCGGCUUAAUUUGACUCAACACGGGAAAACUUACCCGGCCCGGACACUGGAAGGAUUGACAGAUUAAGAGCUCUUUCUUGAUUCAGUGGGUGGUGGUGCAUGGCCGUUCUUAGUUGGUGGAGCGAUUUGUCUGGUUAAUUCCGAUAACGAACGAGACUCUAGCCUACUAAAUAGGCGUUCCGAUCCUUUAUGUCGGACGUUCUUCUUAGAGGGACAAGCGGCUUUUAGCCGCACGAGACAGAGCAAUAACAGGUCUGUGAUGCCCUUAGAUGUCCGGGGCCGCACGCGCGCUACACUGAAGGAAUCAGCGUGUGCUUUCCCUGUCUGGUAGGACUGGGUAACCCGUUAAACCUCCUUCGUGAUAGGGAUAGGGAUUUGUAAUUGUUCCCUUGAACGAGGAAUUCCCAGUAAGCACGAGUCAUAAGCUCGUGUUGAUUACGUCCCUGCCCUUUGUGCACACCGCCCGUCGCUACUACCGAUUGAAUGAUUUAGUGAG